AUGGAGAGGAUCAUACUUUGCCAGGAGGCAUACACAAGGAAGAUACUUGAAAGAUGUGGCAUGAAAGAUUGCAAUCCAGUUGAUGCUUCAAUAAAACCUCGUCUUGAGCUAACCAAGAAGAGCAAAGCACCCGCAGUUGAUGCAACAGAGUAUAUUGCAGCUGCAGUUGCGAUGUGUCAAGGUGUGUGGCUAGGGAGGCUACACGAUGAUCUCAUGGAUCGAGAUCCGGAACAAGUGGUGCUCAAUGUUGACAGUGAGUCUACGACUUUUCUAUGCGAGGAUCCAGUGCGGCGUGAAAGGAGCAAGCACAUUGAUACGAUGUAUCACUACAUAAAGGAUUGCAUGGAAGAAGGCAAAAUGAAGGUCAACUACGGUUGCACCGAUGAUCAGCUGGCGGACAUCCUGACCAAGGCUUUGGAUCGAGAGAAGUUCUUGGAGAUGCGAAGAAGGAGCGGCGUCGGAAUUGUGAUAUGA
rnacentral:rRNA from 1 species